AUUUUAUAUAUGUAUAAUGUCCCCCUUUGUAUUUCUUAUUAUUUAAAAAAAAUAUUAAAAAUAAUUUUAAAAGGACGCAGCUGUGCGUUUGAGAAACGACCGGAAACGACUUAUAUGUCGCGAGGCCAUCACGUGACCACAAUAUUUACCAGAAGACCGUUAUUUGCUCGAGUACCCUCAACUUUUUUGUCGCAAAUAACAUUAUUAAUAACCUGUAAAUAAUACAUUUUGUACACAUUACGUUCCUCUUCACUUUGUAAUAGUAUGUUUUUUGGUUUAAUAGUCGGCUUUAAGUUAGUUUUCCUGUCAGUUUGAUCGUCAAAAUCUUGAUGGGUGCUCAUGGUGGCCUCCAAAUAAAUACAUGGACAGGCUGCUAAAGAGGGUCAGGAUGAUGGAGAUGCAAGAGCCAAAGACAGCACAGACCAAACACCAGGCCAGAAUUCUGCAUGAGUCAGAUUGAGUAAUUUUCACUCUAGAGACCCUUGGGUGACCACCAAGGACGAAUGCAAACUCCAGUGAGUGUCUCUAAGGUAGAUCCUAAUGCAGAUGGAUGGAAUGUUGAUCCGCCUAACAUGCAAGAGCACUCGUUUUGAGUCCUGAGACCCUGGGGUGACCACCGUGAACAAAUACAGAAGCACUCAAUUUGAGUCCUGAGACCCUGGGGUGACCACCGUGAACAAAUACAGACUGCAAUAGCAGUCUUGACGGUACUAGGAUGAAUGCAAAUAAAGACUAACCACCUGACAUCAGCUGUCCAGUCUCUUGUGGGAAGCAGGUGCUUGUUACCCCAAAUACGGAUGAAGAGUGACGAAGAGGAUGAUGACUGUUUGCUCAAACAUCUGCUGAAGAUCUUGACAGGCUGGAGACAAAAUUAACAGACUGAGGGUUUAUACAAAGAAUCUUACUCAGCCAAUAUUAAAGAUAAGAUAUUUUUACAAAAUGUUCUUUUCAUUGUUUAGGAUGAUUUUAUGUAGAAAACAGUACAUCACAAAAAAGACUUUAGAUGUGUUUUCACAGGCAGAGCCUUACACACACACUAACCACAAUUAUAAACGCAACCCUAACACAGAUUUAGACAGAUUUGUGAAUAACAUUUGAGAGAAAUAGGCCUUUUGGGGACAUAGAAAAUAUUCAUGAAAUGAAAAAUGGGGGCAAAAACAAAUAUUAACAAGUGUAAUACAAAUAUCAACCAUAAUACUGAUCGUUUUAAAAAAGUAAGCCACUAUAUCUUUCUAGAAUCUUACACAAGACUCAGUUACAUGAACGAUCAAAAUAAAUUAACGUCAGACAGGUGGGCGAAAUAUCAAUAUUAAAGCAUGAAUAACUGUUAUCAACCCAAUUUCGAGGUAUUAUUUAAAUGAUCCGACAGCAAACAGUUUAUUGUUUAAAUGCAUUAUUACUACAUACCUUAAGCAUGUGUUCCACGCCUUUCUUCUUCUUGGCAUUGCGAGGUCAAGCGGAUGUUGUUAUGUAGAAUCAUGACCUUGACGCAAAGACGCACAUUCGUAAUUUAUUUAACAAUGACAACACUUUCGGGUAAUUUUAUCUUCUAGAUCCUAAUUAACGCUAUGAAGAAAGAACAGCCUUUCACGAUUAUUUCCUGGUAAUUUUUUGUAAUGUUUUAUUUCAGAAUGGAGAUUAAUAAAGCAGACGCGGAAAGGUUUUUAUUAUUUUAAAUAUGUUAUGUUUAUAUGUUGUUGUUUUCGCAUACUGUCGUGUAAAAUGCAUCUUUAAAGAUAAAUGAAUGAAAGUUUUCAUUGUUUAAUUUGAAUAAAUGUGUUUUAUAAAAUCAACAACUGCCUGUUUUAAGAUCAAUUGAAAAUUGUGUUUUAAUUACUUUAUAUCGACGACACAGCAUGCAUGUGUAGAUGUGUGUAGAAAUAAUUUGCUGUAGUUUAGGGCAAUUCAAUUUGUUAAUGAGGGAUCUUUUAAUCUUACAAACAUCUGGGAAAGAGCGGCUUACCGUCUUUUUAAGCUCUUCUAAAGAUCUGGGAAA